GGGAUAUGAGAGGACGAGUACAUUGAAUUCAACCAUUACUUGUACCCGUAAUCUUCAUAAUCCGAG
rnacentral:pre_miRNA from 1 species